GCGAGAGUGGCGGAACGGCAGACGCGCCAGGUUCAGGACCUGGUGGGAGCAAUCCCGUGGGGGUUCAAAUCCCUUCUCUCGCACCA
rnacentral:tRNA from 1 species